UACGUAGGGACCAAGCGUUGUUCGGAUUUACUGGGCGUAAAGGGCGCGUAGGCGGCGCGGUAAGUCACUUGUGAAAUCUCUGAGCUUAACUCAAAACGGCCAAGUGAUACUGCAGUGCUAGAGUGUGGAAGGGGCAAUCGGAAUUCUUGGUGUAGCGGUGAAAUGCGUAGAUAUCAAGAGGAACACCUGAGGUGAAGACGGGUUGCUGGGCCAACACUGACGCUGAUGCGCGAAAGCCAGGGGAGCAAACGGG
rnacentral:rRNA from 1 species